UCUUUUUCACCGAAAGUAGAAAAGAAAAGAAAAAGUUUGAAAGCUUCAAAUAUUCGGCCAUUUUGAAGCUUAAUUCAAGGUUAGUUUUUGUUCAGUUUUUGAUAAUUUUUACGUUUUUGAGAUCGUUGCUUUGAAUACUUCAAAACCCAUGUCUUAAUUUUGUAAAUUGUUGAUGAUUUUGAGAAAUGCCAUUGAUGAAUUCUUAAGCUUUGUGAUAGUUGGUGAUGAAAUAUGAAAGAUAUGUGAAAGAUUAACAUGUUUUGUCUUUGAAUUUUAGAUGAAUUUGAGUAAUUAGGUUAAAUUGUAAAAAAUAAAAUUUUGAAGGAUUAAAAUGUGAAAUAAAUGAAAUUUGUGGGCUUGUAUGGACACUAGGAAUAUUAGGUCCUUAAGGAGUGUAGUCAAAUUUUGUGUAUUUUGUGUUUUGAGCAAAAGGGCUAAAUUGUGAAAAUGUGAAAUAUUAGGGGUAAAAAUGUAAUUUGCCUAUUUAUGUGUUCUUAGACUAAAUUGAAUGAAAAUAUGUUUAAAUGAGAUUUAUUUGAAUAUGUUUAGAUCAAGAAACCAAGAAAUCAGAUUUAGAUCGGGGGAAAUCGAAAGUAGUUGAGUAGCCGAUCUAUUAGUCGACGACAUCCGAGGUAAGUUAUUAAGCAUAUAUAUAUUCGUAUCAUUUUAAAUCAGCUUGGUAUUUAUGUAAUUACGCUGAAUUAAAUGAUAUAUAUAUACAUGUAGUGAUAAAAUUAUUGAAAUAAGAUGUACUGAGUUGUUGACUUUCGACACUAAGUGUGCGAGUUUAAUUGUAAAGCACUAAGUGUGCGAGUUUAAUGGAAAAGCACUAAGUGUGCGAGUUUGAUUAUUUAGCACUAAGUGUGCGAACUUAUUAAAUAUUUUCGAAUAACUAUUAGCAUUGAGUAUUUUGUCUUAUUAAGAAAUCAUGAUUAGAAAAUGAGUAAAUACUUGGAAUUCUUGAGUAAUAGCCAUUAUGGUUGUAUAUAAAGUUAAGCUUGGUAGGUAUUAAACCCAUGUGGUGAUUUUAUUUGGAAUCAUAUAUAUAUAUAAGAUGAUUCUUUAUAUUACAUGAUGAGAAAAUGCAUAAUGUAUUUGGCCUUGUGUUUAAAUUUGAAGAAAUGUUUAUGGUUGUGUAAUUAUAUUGAUUUUAGUUAAAUCAUAGUAAUAAGUGAAUAAUUAUCUUAUGAUAUGGUAAAUUAAAGGUAAGAUGAUUUAGUAGUAUGAAUUUGUUGAAUAUUAUUUGAGAUAUCGGGUUAAAUAGUAGUGUUUAUUUGCUUAUAACUUACUAAGCUAAAUUAGCUUACAAUGUGUUGGAUAAUUUUUUUGACAUAUAGAUUUUGGUGAACGCUACGUGUUCGGGGAUCGUCAGCUAAGUUCAUAACACUAUCGAUAUUUUCUUUUGGUACUUCGCUAAAUCGUUUUCAAAUAUAUGGCAUGUAUAGCAUAGUUAAAAUAUUGAUUUUGGAACCAAUGUGUAUAUGUAUUGAAAAGUCAUGCAAAAAUAAAUGGCUUGUCUCUUUUGGUUUGAAUUCGGUAUUAAUGCAUAUGCUUUAAUGGUCUAAAAUGUGGUAUAUGUUCAUGUUAUUUUUAUGCUUAAAUGCUGCACAAUUUCUUGUAUAUAUAUGCUGCUCAAUUUGUUGUAUAUUUGCCGCCAAUUUGUUGUAUAUAAGCUGUCCAAUUUUUGGUGUAAAAAUGCUGCUCAAUUUGUUGUAUAUUUGCUGCCAAUUUGUUUUAUAUAAGCUGUCCAAUUUUUGGUGUAAAAAUGCUGCUCAAUUUGUUGUGUAAUUGCUGUCCAAUUUGUUGUGUAUAAGUUGUCCAAUUUUGGUGCAAAAAUGCUGCUCAAUAUGUUGUAUAUAUGCUGCGUAAAUUGUUGUAUAUAUGUUGUCCAAAUUUUGGUGUGAAAUUGCUGUUUAGUUUGGUAUAAAAAUGCUGUCCAUAUUGACAUAUAAGGGCUGUCCAAGAUAGGGUAGAUUACCUAUGUUGUAAUAUGUAGUAUAGUUAGUAAAUUGAAAUGAAAUAUGUGUACAAAUAAAUGUUUGGAUAUAUGCUUGAUUUAUGAUAUAUAAUCAUAUAUGUUUGGAAAUGUUUUAAGAAUUUGAAUGAUAUUAAAUUUUGAUUAGGUAAAUGAUAAUUAUAUGGUUAGUAUAUAAAAUUUGAUUAAUGAUGCAAGUUGAUUUUAAUUGGUUAUGUGAUUAAAUAUAUAUAUAUGGAAUGAGAUUUUCGUGGUUGAGUUGGUAUAAUUUAUAAAAAAAAUUUGAGUUGGAUUUUUGAUUGGUAAUGCCUCGUAACUCAAAUCCGGCGACGGACACGAGUUGGGGUGUUACAUUUGAUUUGGUAUCAGAGCUACGGUUUAGUCGAUUCUAGGACUAACGUAGCACGUAUGAGUCUAGCUAUACAUGCCAUAUUUUAUAUAUUGAGAUAGUGUGAUGACUUCUGACAUCUACAAAUGUGUUUUUGUAUAGUAAUGGAUCUCGAUCGAACUGCAGCGGAUGAUGUCGAGAGUGUAGCGCCUGCUCCCGUGCAAGGGACAGAGCCGAUUGAUUCUCGACCGAAUACGAGUAACCAUGGUGAUGAGACUAAACAAGCCUUCUAUUCUAUGAUGAAUGAAUGGUUUACUCAAUAUAUCCGGACAAAUCUGGCUGUUCAACAACCUCCGACCCCGAUUAACCCACUUCCGAUGCCUGUGGUACCUCCAACUAUUGAUCAUAUGAGAUUGAAUAAACCUCCUGUUGAUAAGAUAAGAAAAUACGGAGCUGAAGAAUUUAGGGCCACAGCUAGUGAUGAUGCAGAACGGGCUGAGUUUUGGCUCGAUAAUACCAUUUGUGUCUUCGAUGAAUUAUCUUGUACACCUGAUGAGUGCCUGAAAUGUGCGAUAUCUUUGUUACAGGAUUCAGCUUACUAUUGGUGGAACACUCUAGUUUCGAUUGUUCCGAAAGAGCGUGUCACUUGGGAUUUCUUUCAGACAGAAUUUCGUAAAAAGUAUAUCAGUCAGCGAUUCAUUGAUCAGAAACACAAAGAAUUUCUCGAGCUAAAGUAGGGUCGUAUGACCGUAUCUGAUUAUGAGCGCGAGUUUGUGAGACUCAGCCGAUAUGCCCGAGAGUGUGUUACGACCGAGAUUACUAUGUGUAAAAGAUUCAAGGAGGGGCUGAAUGAAGACAUAAAAUUACUUGUCGGUAUACUCGAAAUAAAAGAGUUCGUAGUACUCGUCGAGCGAGCUUGCAAGGCUGAAGAACUCAGCAAAGAGAAAAGAAAAGCUGAGUUUGAAGCUAGUGAUUUUCGAAAGAGAUCAGCGAGUAAAACUUUUCAUACGGCAACAAAGAAGUUCAGAGAUGUUAGUAGCCGAUCUAAGGCUACUGCGGGCUUUCUAUACAAGAAUGACCACCAAUGAGUUCAAGAGCCACUUCAGUUGCUAGUGUUGGUAAUACCCGACUGAAUAAACCUGAGUGUCAGCAAUGUGGUAGGAGACAUGUUGGUGAGUGUUGGGGCAAGUACAACAAUCGAGUUUGCUAUAAAUGUGGAUCGAAAGAUCAUUUUAUUCAAGACUGCCCAGAGUUUGCGGAUCAAAAUUCGACUCAGAAUAUGAGAUCGGGCAACACAGCAGCUCGGGGUAGACCACCUAGGAACACGGGUAAUGUGAGUGCCAAUCAAAGAGGUACUAAAGAUACAGCUGUUAGAUCCGAGGCUCGCGCACCUGCCAGAGCCUAUGCCAUUCGCACAUGUGAGGAGGCUUCAUCCCCAGAUGUUAUUACUGAUACUUUCACUCUUUAUGAUACUAAUGUUAUUGCACUGAUUGAUCCUGGUUCGACUCAUUCAUAUGUGUGUGAGACUUUAGUAUUCAGUAAGAAUUUGCAUGUUGAGUCUACUGAAUUUGUGAUUAGAGUAUUAAACCCCCUGGGCCGGUGUGUGUUGGUUGACAAAGUGUGUAAGAAUUGUCCGUUGAUGAUUCGAAAUUUGUGUUUUACGGCUGAUUUGAUGUUGUUGCCAUUUGACGAGUUCAAUAUAAUUUUGGGUAUGGACUGGUUGACUUUACACGAUGCUGUGGUUAACUGUAAAAGGAAGACUAUUGAUUUAAUAUGCCUGAAUGACGAGAUUAUUCGGAUUGAAUCUAAUGAUCUGAAUGGUUUAUCGGCAGUGAUAUCCUCUAUGUUGGCUCAGAAGUAUGUGAGAAAAGGUUGUGAAGCUUAUCUUGCAUAUGUUCUUGAUAGUAAAGUGAUAGAAAAGAAGAUUGAAUCAGUACCUGUUGUAUGUGAGUAUCCAGAUGUGUUCCCUGAAGAAUUACCGGGUUUGCCACCUAUUCGAGAAGUUGAGUUUGGGAUUGAAUUAGUGCCGGGGACAACUCCGAUUUCGAUAGCUCCACACAGGAUGGCACCUACAGAAUUAAAAGAGUUGAAAGCGCAGUUACAAGAGUUGACAGAUAGAGGUUUCGCACGAUCGAGUUUUUCUCCUUGGGGGGUACCAAUUCUAUUUGUGAGAAAGAAAGACAGAACGAUGAGAAUGUGCAUUGACUAUCGGCAGCUCAAUAAGGUGACUAUAAAGAAUAAGUAUUCGUUACCACGGAUUGAUGAUUUGUUCGAUCAGUUGAAAGGGGCUACUGUGUUCUCGAAGAUAGAUUUGAGAUCAGGCUACUAUCAGUUGCGAGUUAAAGACUCUGAUGUGCCAAAGACUGCCUUCCGAACGAGGUACGGACAUUAUGAGUUUCUUGUUAUGCCUUUUGGACUUACUAAUGCACCUGCUGUUUUCAUGGAUUUGAUGAAUCGGAUCUUUAGACAGUAUCUAGAUUAGUUUGUAGUAGUAUUCAUAGAUGAUAUUCUGAUCUACUCCCGUGAUGAGGCAGAGCAUGUCGAACAUUUGAGACUUGUGUUACAGACUUUACGAGAUAAACAGUUGUAUGCAAAAUUCAGUAAAUGUGAGUUUUGGUUGCGUGAAGUCAGUUUCUUAGGCCAUGUUAUAUCGGCAUCAGGUAUAAGGGUUGAUUCGAGCAAGAUUUUGGCUAUACUUGAUUGGAAACCUCCAAGAAAUGUUUCAGAAGUUCGAAGUUUUCUGGGACUUGUCGGUUAUUAUAGAUGGUUCGUAAAAGGAUUCUCUAUGAUUGCGACCCCGAUGACAAAGCUACUACAGAAAGACAUUAAGUUUGAGUGGUCAGAAAAGUGCCAGAAAAGUUUCGAUCAGUUGAAAGCUCUUUUGACCGAAGCUCCAGUAUUAGUUCAGCCAGAAUUGGGUAAAGAGUUUGUUAUCUAUAGUGAUGCAUCUUUAAAUGGUUUGGGCUGUGUUUUGAUGCAGGAAGGUAAAGUUGUAGCCUAUGCCUUGAGACAGUUAAAGCUGCACGAAAAGAACUAUCCGACACACGAUUUGGAAUUGGCCGCUAUUGUAUUUGCGUUGAAAAUAUAGCGUCACUAUCUGUUUGGCGAAAAAUGUCAUGUUUAUUCCGAUCACAAAAGCCUGAAGUACUUGAUGACUCAGAAAGAUCUGAAUUUGAGACAGCGUCGAUGGUUAGAAUUGCUAAAAGAUUACGAGCUUGUGAUUGACUAUCAUCCGGGAAAGGCUAAUGUUGUUGCUGAUGCUCUAAGUCGAAAAUCACUGUUUACUUUGAGUGCAAUGAAUGCACAUAUGACUAUAUCUGAUGAUGGUGCGAUAGUAGCUGAAUUGAAAGCAAAACCGUUACUUGUUCAACAGAUUUGUGAAGCUCAGAAAGCUGAUGAUGAUUUAAUUGUAAAACGAGCUCAGUGUGACUUAAAUUUUGAUUCAGAGUUUCUAGUUGAUGCUGAGGAUUAUUUGAGAUUCAGAAACUGAUUAUGUGUUUCGAGAAAUUCAAAGUUAAUUCAAGUAAUUUUGAAUGAAGCUCAUAAUAGUCGAUUUUCUGUUCAUCCGGGUAGUACGAAAAUGUAUAACGAUCUAAAACAGCACUAUUGGUGGCAUGGUAUGAAACGAGACAUUUCUGACUUUGUUUCGAAAUGUUUAAUUUGUCAGCAAGUUAAAGCCGAGCAUCAGGUACCAUCUGGAUUGCUUCAGCCGAUCAUGAUACCUGAAUGGAAAUGGGAUCGAGUCACGAUGGAUUUUGUAUCCGGUUUACCGUUGACACCGAGCAAGAAAGAUGCAAUCUGGGUUAUUGUUGAUAGGUUGACAAAAUUGACACACUUUAUUCCGAUUCGCACAGAUUUUUCGCUCGACAAACUUGUAGAAUUGUAUGUUUCACAAAUUGUGAGGUUGCAUGGUGUACCUAUUUCUAUUGUUUUGGACAGAGACCCGAGAUUCACAUCGCGGUUUUGGAAGAAAUUACAAGAUGCUUUAGGUACGAAACUACAUUUUAGCACUGCUUUCCAUCCGCAAACAGAUGGUCAAUCUGAGCGAAUCAUUCAGAUACUUGAGGAUAUGUUGAGAUGUUGCAUUCUUGAGUUUGAAGGUACGUGGGAACGAUACUUACCUUUGAUUGAAUUUGCUUAUAAUAAUAGCUUUCAAUCUAGUAUCAAAAUGGCACCUUACGAGGCUUUGUAUGGUCGUAAAUGUCAUACACCAUUGUAUUGGACUGAGCUCAGUGAAAAUAAGAUACACGGGGUCGAUUUGAUUAAAGAGACUGAACAGAAAGUGAAAGUGAUUCGGGAUAGUCUGAAAUCAGCAUCAGAUCGUCAGAAAUCUUAUGCGGACUUGAAAAGAAAGGAUAUAGAAUUUCAAAUUGGGGACAAAGUGUUUUUGAAAGUAUCACCGUGGAAGAAAAUACUCAGAUUUGGUCGCAAAGGCAAAUUAAGUCCGAGAUUCAUUAGACUGUAUGAGAUUUUAGAGCGUAUCGGGCCGGUUGCGUAUAAAUUGUUGUUGCCAUCUGAGUUAGAAAGGAUUCACAAUGUAUUUUAUGUUCGAUGCUUUGUAGAUACAAAUCUGAUCCUUCGCAUGUGAUUAGUCCGACGGAGAUUGAAAUUAACUCUAAUAUGUCAUAUGAAGAAGAACCGAUUAGUAUUCUGGCUCGUGAGAUCAAAGAAUUACGAAAUAAGAAAAUUCCAUUAGUCAAAGUACUGUGGCAUAAACACGGAGUUGAAGAAGCAACUUGGGAGUCAGAAGAUACAAUGAAAGAGCGUUAUCCAAACUUAUUCACCGGUAAGAUUUUCGGGGACGAAAAUCCCUAAAGGGGGGAGAGUUGUAACAGCCCGAUUAUUGACCCUAAUCGGAACAGUGGUUUCGGGACCACACAUCCGAGUCUGAAAAAUAUUUAAAUAUUUUAUUCUAUGUUUAUUAUGUGUGAAUUUACAUGUGUAAAAGUUUCGUGAAUUAAUUUUAUUGUUUGAAUGUUUAAUUUGAGAAAAGGGUUUAAUCGCGUAAAAUGAAAAUUUAGUGGUUAAAUAUGAAAGUGCCUAAUUGUUGUUGUCUUUAUAAGUUGGAGGCCUUAUGUUGUAAUUUAGCCAAUAGUAAUAGGUAGUGGAUGGCAUCAUGAUAAUAUGUGAUAUAUAUAUUUAUAAUAAAAGUUAAAAUAAUAAUAAUAUAAUAAUAUAUGUUAUAAUAAAACAAAACAUUUAAAACCCACCAUUUUAUGUUCAUCUUUUUCACCGAAAGUAGAAAAGAAAAGAAAAAGUUUGAAAGCUUCAAAUAUUCGGCCAUUUUGAAGCUUAAUUCAAGGUUAGUUUUUGUUCAGUUUUUGAUAAUUUUUACGUUUUUGAGAUCGUUGCUUUGAAUACUUCAAAACUCAUGUCUUAAUUUUGUAAAUUGUUGAUGAUUUUGAGAAAUGCCAUUGAUGAAUUCUUAAGCUUUGUGAUAGUUGGUGAUGAAAUAUGAAAGAUAUGUGAAAGAUUAACAUGUUUUGUCUUUGAAUUUUAGAUGAAUUUGAGUAAUUAGGUUAAAUUGUAAAAAAUAAAAUUUUGAAGGAUUAAAAUGUGAAAUAAAUGAAAUUUGUGGGCUUGUAUGGACACUAGGAAUAUUAGGUCCUUAAGGAGUGUAGUCAAAUUUUGUGUAUUUUGUGUUUUGAGCAAAAGGGCUAAAUUGUGAAAAUGUGAAAUAUUAGGGGUAAAAAUGUAAUUUGCCUAUUUAUGUGUUCUUAGACUAAAUUGAAUGAAAAUAUGUUUAAAUGAGAUUUAUUUGAAUAUGUUUAGAUCAAGAAACCAAGAAAUCAGAUUUAGAUCGGGGGAAAUCGAAAGUAGUUGAGUAGCCGAUCUAUUAGUCGACGACAUCCGAGGUAAGUUAUUAAGCAUAUAUAUAUUCGUAUCAUUUUAAAUCAGCUUGGUAUUUAUGUAAUUACGCUGAAUUAAAUGAUAUAUAUAUACAUGUAGUGAUAAAAUUAUUGAAAUAAGAUGUACUGAGUUGUUGACUUUCGACACUAAGUGUGCGAGUUUAAUUGUAAAGCACUAAGUGUGCGAGUUUAAUGGAAAAGCACUAAGUGUGCGAGUUUGAUUAUUUAGCACUAAGUGUGCGAACUUAUUAAAUAUUUUCGAAUAACUAUUAGCAUUGAGUAUUUUGUCUUAUUAAGAAAUCAUGAUUAGAAAAUGAGUAAAUACUUGGAAUUCUUGAGUAAUAGCCAUUAUGGUUGUAUAUAAAGUUAAGCUUGGUAGGUAUUAAACCCAUGUGGUGAUUUUAUUUGGAAUCAUAUAUAUAUAUAAGAUGAUUCUUUAUAUUACAUGAUGAGAAAAUGCAUAAUGUAUUUGGCCUUGUGUUUAAAUUUGAAGAAAUGUUUAUGGUUGUGUAAUUAUAUUGAUUUUAGUUAAAUCAUAAUAAAAAGUGAAUAAUUAUCUUAUGAUAUGGUAAACUAAAGGUAAGAUGAUUUAGUAGUAUGGAUUUGUUGAAUAUUAUUUGAGAUCUCGGGUUAAAUAGUAGUGUUUAUUUGCUUAUAACUUACUAAGCUAAAUUAGCUUACAAUGUGUUAGAUAAUUGUUUUGAUGUAUAGAUUUUGGUGAACGCUACGUGUUUGGGGAUCGUCAGCUCAGCUCAUCACACUAUCGAUAUUUUCUUUUGGUACUUCGCUAAAUCGUUUUCAAAUAUAUGGCAUGUAUAGCAUAGUUAAAAUAUUGAUUUUGGAACCAAUGUG
rnacentral:lncRNA from 1 species